rnacentral:lncRNA from 1 species
GAUAUUACUGUGAACUACAAGCAAUUUGUUCCUGUGUAGAGCUGCAAUAUUAACAAGAAGCUGGGCGGUCUGAUGAGUUUUCCUUCAUCUCUCAGGGCAACGGCGUAUGAAGAAAUGGGAAGAAAAUGUUUGCUGACUGCUGCUCUAGGACAUUCAUCAACACAGAUGACCAGGGCUCACACCAGUGUUCCUGAAAGCCAGUGAAGGAGGAAGGAAUCAAAGGGGCAAUGUUCAAGUGGUGAUUUCUUUUUCGAAAGAAUAUUUCACAGAUUCUUUAGAUGCUCAAAAAGUUUGUAAGUCUUUCCUUCAUACACUUACCAAAAACAUAGCAGAUGCGUUAAAAAAGAGGUUGGAUAUAAGAAGCCAGGAAUGUAUAACUGUGCAUGGACAGAGAAAAUGUAGAAUAAUUUUAAAAAACUUAAUCUAUUUUAGUUUUCUCCUGCAAUCUCUCUGUUAUUAUGGAUGUAUUUAAUUUUUGAUCAUUUAUUAGACAUUGCUUUGCUAUAACUUGAAGAAAAAAUAAUAUGCUGAUAUUUAGGUCCAUUAAAAAAAUCUAUUUGCAGGAGGGGAACAAAGGUAUUAGAUAGGCCCCCAAGUAAUAGAAGGUAUAUUACUUUUUGAAUUACCACAUCUAAUAAAAACUGACUUCUUGGUUAUUCUUGGCCUGGG